CGCCUCUUGUAAACCCCACAUAAGAGGUCCUGCCUGCCCAGUGACCCCUGUUCAACGGCCGCGGUAUUUUAACCGCGCAAAGGUAGCGCAAUCACUUGUCCCUUAAAUGAGAACCAGUAUGAAUGGCUAGACGAGGGCUUAACUGUCUCCUUUUCCCAACCAAUGAAAUUGAUCUUCCCGUGCAGAAGCGGGAAUACUAACAUAAGACGAGAAGACCCUGCGGAGCUUUAGACGCCAGAACAGAUCACGUCAAAUACCUCCCUCAAAUAAGUAACAACAAAUGAACCCUGUUCCACGUCUUAGGUUGGGGCGACCACGGUGAACAGAAAAACCCCCGCGUGGACUGAGAGCACAUAUUCACACUCAUUAAUACUGCUUCUCACAACCAUGAGCUACAACUCUAAAUAACAGAACUUCUGACCAAAAAAAUGAUCCGGCAAUGCCGAUUAACGGACCAAGUUACCCCAGGGAUAACAGCGCAAUCCUCUUUAAGAGCCCAUAUCGACAAGAGGGUUUACGACCUCGAUGUUGGAUCAAGACAUCCUAAUGGUGCAACCGCUAUUAAGGGUUCGUUUGUUCAACGAUUAAAGUCUU
rnacentral:rRNA from 1 species